rnacentral:rRNA from 1 species
AGAGUUUGAUUAUGGCUCAAGAUGAACGCUGGCGGCGUGCCUAACACAUGCAAGUCGAACGGGUGUACGGGGAGGAAGGCUUCGGCCGGAAAACCUGUGCAUGAGUGGCGGACGGGUGAGUAACGCGUGGGCAACCUGGCCUGUACAGGGGGAUAACACUUAGAAAUAGGUGCUAAUACCGCAUAACGGGGGAAGCCGCAUGGCUUUUCCCUGAAAACUCCGGUGGUACAGGAUGGGCCCGCGUCUGAUUAGCCAGUUGGCAGGGUAACGGCCUACCAAAGCGACGAUCAGUAGCCGGCCUGAGAGGGCGGACGGCCACACUGGGACUGAGACACGGCCCAGACUCCUACGGGAGGCAGCAGUGGGGGAUAUUGCACAAUGGGGGGAACCCUGAUGCAGCGACGCCGCGUGGGUGAAGAAGCGCCUCGGCGCGUAAAGCCCUGUCCGCAAGGAAGAAAAUGACGGUACCUGAAGAAGAAGCCCCGGCUAACUACUUGCC